ACUGAAUUUUAGAUGUGACCUAUUUUCCCUUUAAAAUAAGGGAAAUAUAGAACAUUUAAAUUAAAUUUAGGUUCUGCAAGUAUAACCACACAUUAAAGGACCACCAUAGGCACCCAGAGCACUUCAGCUCAAUGUAGUGAUCUGGGUGCCAGGUCCAUCUAGUGUUAACCCUGCAGUUGUAAACAUAGCAGUUUCAGAGCCAAUAUUAUUCAGAAACAGCCCUGGCCAAUCAGCAUCUCCUCACAGAGAUGAAUUGAAUCAAUGAAUCUCUAUGAGGAAUGUUCAGUGUCUGCAUUUAAACAACAUACAAUGGCACAUGAGAUGUUCUGAACUACAACUUAAGUGAGGUAAAAUUGUUAUGGUGCCUGAAGUUUUGGUUUAAGGCCAAAAGAGCAGAAAUGGGAAAACUCUCCAAGUCAGCUUUUCUUUCUGUUCAGGAAAUUUGGCCUUAAAGGUGAAAUUCACUUUCAGUUCCCAAUAAUCCAUGAGAUGACCAGGCUCAAGUCCUGAAAGUACACACCAACAAGGUUAAACUGUGAGUUGUUGGGAAUACAGUAGGGAAGUGGAAAUUGUAGGCCAUAGCAGCUGGAGGUUUCCAACUCAAGUAUUUUACCAUUGAACGUAAAGAUUUAUCAGGGAAUUGCAACAAUUCAGUUUAGUGAAUUAACAAUAUUUUACUUAAGUUGUGUUACAAGUUGUGGAAGGACAUAGUGUACAUCUUACAGACAGCUCACCAUAUGAUUCAAGCAAUGGCAGCACACAAUGUGUAUGAAGCAGACAGUGACAGUACACACAGCUUUGUGUAUGGCUAAAGCACAAGCAGGACACUACAUAUAGAUCAAGCUGUAGCUGCAUAUAUUGUUACAUACUGCUCACUGCAUAGUUUAACAGUGAAAGUAUACACAGUAUAGAAAUACACAAAGCUCAAUGUAUCGCUAAAAAUAUCUGCUUAUUAAACUCAAGCAGUGACAUUACACAUUUCAGUGUAUGGUUCAAGCACUAUAAACAUAUAGCUCAGUUCAAGCAGUGACAGUGCACAUUGUAUGUCAUUACAAAGAACACAAUGUCAGUGUACACACUGUUUAUUGUUAAUUACAGCUCACUGUAUGCUGCAAGUAGUGGCAGCACAUUGCAUACUAUUAGACAUAGCUCACUGUAAUGCUCGAGUAAUAAAAGUAAACACUGAAAAAAUGUAUAGCACUCAGUAUGCACUGUACCCAGUAACUACACAGUGUGCUCGCUGUGAGUACAAUACACUGUAUACAAGGACAUGACUCUGUACCCGGUUAGUAUACAGUGUACUUGCUGUGAGUACCAUAUGCUGUAUACACUGAAAUGGCUCAGUACUCGGUUAGUAUACAGUGUGCUCGCUGUGUGCACCAUACGCUGUGUAUACUGACAU